GGGGAAUCUUCCGCAAUGGGCGAAAGCCUGACGGAGCAACGCCGCGUGAGUGAAGACGGCCUUCGGGUUGUAAAGCUCUGUUAUAGGGGACGAACGGCCGGGUAGCGAAGAGGUAGCCGGCAUGACGGUACCGUAAGAGAAAGCCACGGCUAACUACGUGCCAGCAGCCGCGGUAAUACGUAGGUGGCAAGCGUUGUCCGGAAUGAUUGGGCGUAAAGGGCGCGCAGGCGGCUGUGUAAGUCUGUCCAGAAAGUGCGGGGCUAAACCCCGUGAGAGGAUGGAAACUGGACAGCUGAGAGUGUCGGAGAGGAAAGCGGAAUUCCUAGUGUAGCGGUGAAAUGCGUAGAUAUUAGGAGGAACACCGGUGGCGAAAGCGGCUUUCUGGACGACAACUGACGCUGAGGCGCGAAAGCCAGGGGAGCAAACGGGAUUAGAUACCCCGGUAGUCCUGGCCGUAAACGAUGGGUACUAGGUGUAGGAGGUAUCGACCCCUCCUGUGCCGGAGUUAACGCAAUAAGUACCCCGCCUGGGGAGUACGGCCGCAAGGCUG
rnacentral:rRNA from 1 species